rnacentral:rRNA from 1 species
CCUACGGGCGGCAGCAGUGGGGAAUAUUGCACAAUGGGCGCAAGCCUGAUGCAGCCAUGCCGCGUGUGUGAAGAAGGCCUUCGGGUUGUAGAGCACUUUCAGCGGGGAGGAAGGCGUUAAGGUUAAUAACCUUGGCGAUUGACGUUACCCGCAGAAGAAGCACCGGCUAACUCCGUGCCAGCAGCCGCGGUAAUACGGAGGGUGCAAGCGUUAAUCGGAAUUACUGGGCGUAAAGCGCACGCAGGCGGUCUGUCAAGUCGGAUGUGAAAUCCCCGGGCUCAACCUGGGAACUGCAUUCGAAACUGGCAGGCUAGAGUCUUGUAGAGGGGGGUAGAAUUCCAGGUGUAGCGGUGAAAUGCGUAGAGAUCUGGAGGAAUACCGGUGGCGAAGGCGGCCCCCUGGACAAAGACUGACGCUCAGGUGCGAAAGUGUGGGGAGCAAACAGGAUUAGAUACCCGAGUAGUC